rnacentral:lncRNA from 1 species
UCGCUUUUCCAUCACGGAGAUUGCAAAACUUUAUUUAUAUGUUCUUACAGCUAUGUAGUUUUUAUAAAUCCGCACGGACCGAGACAAUAUGGGUGUCGCCAAACAUCUUGUGCACACGGCGACAAAGUUCUGUAUGCACUUAGGUUGACUAUCGAUCGUCUGGCUUAAUCUAUAGAGGACAUAUCUCCAGUUCUGUAAACUUAGAAAUCAAAACGCAGCAACACACCAACUGUCCGACGUAAGAGUAACAUGCGUCGCGGCGCAAAUGUUUCUAUAUUGAUCGAUAUCAACACUACUGGCCUCCUGGAAUGACGACACCUGCACAUAUGAUAACGGAUCGACCACGUUCGUC